GCCUGGCUGGCUCAGUCAGAAGAGCAUGUGACUCUUAAUCUCGGGGUUGUGAGUUCAAUCCCCAUGUUGGAUG
rnacentral:tRNA from 1 species